rnacentral:tRNA from 1 species
GCGGCCGUGGCGGAAUUGGUAGACGCACUAGCUUGAGGUGCUAGCGGGUAACACCGUGGAGGUUCGAGUCCUCUCGGCCGCACCA